rnacentral:lncRNA from 1 species
ACACAAAGUUGGGAGAAAAUUACUGUUGUUUUGUUCUGUUACACAUGAAUCUUUUGAGAAACUGAUAUUCAUACGGAUAUGUUGACAAACGUAUAGGAAAGACAAAAAUCUAAUAGUAAUCAAAGAAAAGUUGUUAGCUUCUUAUGAAUCACCAACCUGAUUGUAAUUUUGGACUCUUGAACCCUGCAUGAGCUCAUGGUGGAGAAGGCAACAAAAGUAAAACAAAAAUCCCUUAGGAUACAACACUGUCUCGGGAAUCUUUGAGGAUAGGAGAAUCCUCUCUUGUAUGAUGCAUCCAUUCAGUGGAAGGUGGACAAAUGAGUUUUCUUGUCUGGUCAUUUCAUCUCCCUAUCUUCAUUCAGACCUUGGCAGGAAACUCAGAAAAGUAAGUGGUUAGCUAUAAAUCUGCAAGAUUUCGUGCCUAGAAAUUAGAGAAAUUCAGGUAUGACAAUGGUUUGUUAUACAUCUCUAUUCUACAAAUGGAUUAGCAAAAUAAGAACUAUGAAUUUCAAGAUUAAGAAAGACAAAAAAAAGAGAUUCAAGUAAAAAUCCAAAAGAAGCUAAAAAGAUUUGGUAACAGUGGAGGUAAGUGAACAUGACGGAUAAAAAUACAAAAAAAAAAUAAAAAUCAGCUGACCAGUUCAAUCUAUAACAGCUAGCAGCCAAGCAGAAAUCAUCUCUACGUUCUUCAGAGCUUUAUUCGCUUUGGAGGACAAAACAGCCCGUGAAUUCGGCACCACUUUCCCGGAGCUGUGAUUUGCAGAGCGAUUUUUUCC